UGAAACCCUACUAACCGCAUCGCUGCGCGUGGAUUCAAUGGAGUUUCCACCAGCGGAAUUACAUCGCUAAAUUACACCCGGGGAGGAGAGGGGAGGAGCACAGAGCACUCACGCGGCGGCGGUAGCGAGGGCCGGAGGCAAGGACGGUGGCGGAAGGGUGCCGCGUCGCCGCCGGCGGCGGCCAUCGUUUCGCUCCGGGCGCCGAGGGGCGAGGAGACACGCGGGCUUAGGGAAAGAGCGGCG
rnacentral:lncRNA from 1 species